rnacentral:rRNA from 1 species
UAGGGAAUCUUCCACAGUGGGCGAAAGCCUGAUGGAGCAACGCCGCGUGUGUGAUGAAGGGUUUCGGCUCGUAAAACACUGUUGUAAGAGAAGAAUGACAUUGAGAGUAACUGUUCAAUGUGUGACGGUAUCUUACCAGAAAGGAACGGCUAAAUACGUGCCAG